rnacentral:rRNA from 1 species
GACGAACGCUGGCGGCGUGCUUAACACAUGCAAGUCGAACGGAAAGGCCCUGCUUUUGUGGGGUGCUCGAGUGGCGAACGGGUGAGUAACACGUGAGUAACCUGCCCUUGACUUUGGGAUAACUUCAGGAAACUGGGGCUAAUACCGGAUAGGAGCUCCUGCUGCAUGGUGGGGGUUGGAAAGUUUCGGCGGUUGGGGAUGGACUCGCGGCUUAUCAGCUUGUUGGUGGGGUAGUGGCUUACCAAGGCUUUGACGGGUAGCCGGCCUGAGAGGGUGACCGGGCACAAGGGGACUGAGAUACGGCCCAGAAUCCUACGGGAGGCAGCAGUGGGGAAUAUUGCACAAUGGGCGGAAGCCUGAUGCAGCAACGCCGCGUGCGGGAUGACGGCCUUCGGGUUGUAAACCGAUGUCGAAUGUGACGAAGAGUGAGUGACGGUAAUGGGUAAAGAAGCACCGGCUAACUACGUG